UACGUAGGGUGCAAGCGUUAAUCGGAAUUACUGGGCGUAAAGCGUGCGCAGGCGGUGAUGUAAGACAGAGGUGAAAUCCCCGGGCUUAACCUGGGAAUGGCCUUUGUGACUGCACGGCUAGAGUGUGUCAGAGGGGGGUAGAAUUCCACGUGUAGCAGUGAAAUGCGUAGAGAUGUGGAGGAAUACCGAUGGCGAAGGCAGCCCCCUGGGAUAACACUGACGCUCAUGCACGAAAGCGUGGGGAGCAAACAGG
rnacentral:rRNA from 1 species